AGUUACUGAGCAUAGUAACUCGAACGAAUCUGCAAUAAAUUUGUUAAGUUUUCUAUUUGCCUAAUAUUUAUUGAAAACACUCACGAACCAGCCACGACACACUUAUUAUUUUUUAUUAAACACAACAAAAACUUUUGUGUAUAUGUCACUUCAAUGUAAUUGGAAAUCUAAUGUGUGUUUGCAUCAAACAAUGUCGCAACAUGAAAAUAAAAAUGAAACCAAAAUGAGUUGGAUGAGAAAGCGAGACAGUUAAACCAAACCUUUUAUGUAAAUAAGGAGUUCGAGACGUCACAAUAAGAGUCCCGAAUUGGAAACAACAGCAAUAUCGCCAUCUUGGAGAAGAGAUCAAUCAGUGACAAGAUUAGAGGCAAAAUUGUGCUUGCACCGCCAUCUGUCGUGGCUGAAGAUAACUCGCCGGUAGAAUGCAGAGAGAAGAGAAAGCGCAGCUCUCUUCCUGAACUAGAAAGGGUGAAACGGUGUAGAGGUUGAGGUAGAAAUGAAGACCAAUGAAUGAGCUUCAAGAUGCUCUCAGAAAUCGAUAAGAGGAGCAGUCCUGAACCUUUUUCCAUGCUGUCAAAAUUUGGAAAGAUAUUUUAAAAUGAAAUUUUAUAUGUGAAGUCAGUAAUUUUUUUCCGAAUAUUUGCUGACAUUCAGUUGAAGAAAUUAAAUUAUUGAAGAAAAAACUUGUUUCUAAGGAAUCAGCAAAAUUAUUGCUCGACUGUGGCGUUUUUUAACUAUUCAGCUGCCUAAGAUAUACAAACGCUCCAGGCAUUUGAAGAAAAUGGCCUCAGUAACGAAGUUCAUGCCCCCAAUGUGAAAUGGAAAUAAUAAACGGAAGAUAUGAGUCUCCAGGAAUAUUCAAGCCCUAUGAAGCAAAAAGACACGAGUAGUUCCACCUCAUUGUGAGAUGAAAAAAAUGGCAGAAAAAUUACUUAGAUAUAAAAUAUUUUAUUUUACAGGUAUAGAACUCCAACCAUGCAAUUUUCAAAGAUGAAAAGAAAAGUUUUGUA